rnacentral:tRNA from 1 species
UGGGGUAUGGCCAAGCGGUAAGGCAGCGGUUUUUGGUAUCGCCAUCCCUGGUUCGUAUCCAGGUACCCCAGCCA